GGCUAUGGAGUCAGUCGCCACCAUUUUGUGGCAGGCCAUAGAAUCACUCUGCCGUUUUGUGGCAGGCCAUGGGUCAAUUGCCACCAUUUUGUGGCAGGCCAUGUGGUUAUUCCACCAUUUUGUGAAAGGCUAUGGGGUCAGUCGCCGCCAUUUUGUGAUAGGCCAUAGGAUCACUCCACCAUUUUGUGGCAGGCCAUGGGGUCUUUCCACCAUUUUGUGGCAGGCCAUGGGGUCAGUAACCGCCAUUUUGUGACAGGCCCUGGGCUCGCUCCGCCAUUUUGUGGCAGGCCAUGGGGUCAUUCCACCAUUUUGUGUCAGGCUACGUGUCAGUCCGCCAUUUUGGGGCACAUGUGUUUUCCAAGGGUUCUGUGUCUGCUUGUGUUUUCUCACGAGCCUUUGACAUAAAUCUGCUGUUGCUGGGAACUGGGAAGAAUGCCCUUGCAAAGGAAAUUGUUCUGCGAACCAUUGAUCUGUGUGCAGAACUCAAGCACUUGUGCUGUUUCUGCUCCGAGGACCUGUUCCCUUGUCCUGCUACACCUGUGUGACCACACCAGCUGCAAGACAUGAUCUAGUUAUGACUGAGAAUCUGCCUGACCCUGCUGGGGUAGCUGAUUUUCUCUAACUCUGCCUUCUCCAAGUUACUGCUCUUCGUGCAGAAGUCAGGAAAAAGAAGAAAUCUGGACGUCCCUGACACUACCAGCACAGUCCCUCUGUCCUGCUUCCAUUAGAUCUCUUGCAAGGAUCAUGCUUAAAAGUUAAGUUUUGGUGAAGAAAAAGCAGAAAACAAUAUUAUCAAUAUGAGAGACGCCCUGAGCUGGAGGAUUGGGUGAUUUGAGGGGCCAGGCAGUGUCUCGAGAGCUUUUCACCUGAGCACCCGACCCGAGCGCCACUGGAAGCAGUCACUGCCAGAAGGUUGGAAGGAGCCAUGACUCCAGGUCUGUCCCUGGGAGGUAACAGAAAACAUGCAGGUCACUGAACUACUGAACAGCCAAGUACUGAGCUGGUGUCUAAAUUAGAGUCCAGUGGUUUGGAUUGCCGAAGCUUCAGCAGGGUCUGGGCAAGUACAAG